CGGUGAAUACGUUCCCGGGCCUUGCACACACCGCCCGUCAAGCCAUGGAAGCUGGGUGUACCUAAAGUCGGUAACCGUAAGGAGCCGCCUAGGGUAAAACUAGUGACUGGGGCU
rnacentral:rRNA from 1 species